rnacentral:rRNA from 1 species
GACGAACGCUGGCGGCGUGCUUAACACAUGCAAGUCGAACGGAAAGGCCCUGCUUUCGUGGUGUGCUCGAGUGGCGAACGGGUGAGUAACACGUGAGCAACCUGCUCUUGACUUUGGGAUAACUUCAGGAAACUGGGGCUAAUCCCGGAUAGGAGCUCCUGUUGCAUGGUGGGGGUUGGAAAGUCUCGGCGGUCGGGGAUGGACUCGCGGCUUAUCAGCUUGUUGGUGGGGUAGUGGAUUACCAAGGCAUUGACGGGUAGCCGGCCUGGGAGGGGGACCGGGCACAUUGGGACUAAGAGACGGCCCAGACUCCUACGGGAGGCAGCAGUGGGGAGUAUUGCACAGUGGGCGGGAGCCUGAUGCAGCGGCGCCGCGGGCGGGAUGACGGCCUUCUGGUUGUGAACCGCUUUCGCCUGUGACGAAGCGUGAGUGACGGUAAUGGAUGAAGAAGCACCGGCUAACUACGUG